rnacentral:lncRNA from 1 species
UUCAGAGCUAACUUCCCUAGCAGGUUGUUUAGCUAAUACUGACCUCAAAUUCUUGACCUUCCAAUUGCCUGUUCAUCUCUCUAAGGUGGGGAAUGCAGUCUGAAGAAGGCUGUGUACCACUUGAGAGAGACUCAGCUCUCCGAUUUGCACUGGUGGAAGGAAUCUAAAUACUCUUGUUAUUUUUUCUUGUCUUCCAUGUAUUCCAACUGAGCCCUUCAUAUUUGCCAUCUUUUCUACCCUAAAUGUCUUUAUUCCUCUUCUUCCCUUGAUUGAGAUUCUUCCUUUAGGAUUUAGUUCAUGUUAAUUGCUCCAGAAUACACUCUGACCUUUUGUAAUCCCAUAGCACUGUGCUAUCUCUAGUAGUGCACUCUACAUUGCAAUGAAGCUGUUUUAUUUCUUUUUCUGCUUCAUUUUGGUAUAAUUUAUAAGUAGAAAUUAUAUAUAUUCAAGAUGUACAAUGUGAUAUUUUGAUAUACAUUGUGAGGUGAUUGCCACGAUCAAGUUCAUUAACAUAUUCCAUCACCUUGUGCAAAUAACCAAGUAUAUAUGAAAAGGUGUCCAUCAUCACUAAUCAGGUAAAUGCAAUUCAAAACUAAAAUGAAGGUGUAUUUUUAACAAAC